CUGAGAUCAAGUAGAUCAAGAUAUAGAAGAGGCUACAUUCCAAGCUGGUGUGAGUUAGCUUAACUGUAUAUGCUUCAGGGUUCUCUGCUUUUGCACUCCCACUGAAAAUGUGGUAUAGGUGCAGUGAAGUACUGCGACUUUGUGAAGAACACCUAACAGUUAAUUUAUUGGGCAUAAAAGCUUUUCACAUAGGAAGAACAACUCCUCGGUUAUUAACAUCCAGGCCGUUAUCUGAUUGCUCAAGUAGAACAAAAUGUUAGCACCAGCACUGUGCAAUCUGAUAUGAAAAAAUUAUUUGAAACCACUGUUUUUGCGAUGGCUUGCAUCUGAUUGCAAAACUUCAUUUCUUCUGUAUCUGUAACAGUAAGAAAAAAAGUUUUGUUAUCUUAUUUCAAUGCGUUGAUCAAGAAAUAGCCGUCUGAUGCAGGCAUAUAUAUAUAUACACAGAAGUUGCUUCAUGUCUCUUAAAGUACAAGAGUACUUCAGCUGGAUACAAGGUCCAAGCAGCACUUCCUGGAGCAUUUUCCUGUGCUGGAUUUCUUAUUGCUGUGACCAGUUGCUGCCUGAUUCUCCACAUUAUUUUGUCAUUGAGACAAGAUGCUCCGACAAGACUCCUAACAGUCUGAAAACAUCCAUCUGAGUUCUCUGCACUCAACAGAGCAGCCCAAGGAUAAAUCCUUCAGUAUAUCCUAUACGACUGAAGCUGUAGGAGC